AUACGGAGGGUGCAAGCGUUACUCGGAAUCACUGGGCGUAAAGCGCGCGCAGGCGGCUAUUUAAGUUGGAUGUGAAAGCCUACGGCUCAACCGUAGAACUGCAUCCAAAACUAUUUAGCUAGAGUGUGGGAGAGGAAGAUGGAAUUAGUUGUGUAGGGGUAAAAUCCGUAGAGAUAACUAGGAAUACCGAAAGCGAAGGCAAUCUUCUGGAACACUACUGACGCUGAGGCGCGAAAGCGUGGGGAGCGAACAGGAUUAGAUACCCUAGUAGUCC
rnacentral:rRNA from 1 species